AAAAAAAAAAAUCUAUGCUUAAAAAUGUAAAUAUAGAUAAAUUUUAUAUGGUUUAAAAAAUUUAUUUUAAGUUUAUUUUACAUAUAAAUUUUAGUGUUAAAAUAACUUUAUAUUUAAAUAAUAUUUAUUAUUGUAGUAAUUAAUAUUAAAAAUUUAAGAAAUUAAGAUUUAGUGAUAUUGAAAUUAAUAACAAAUUUUGUGCCAGCAGUUGCGGUUAAACAAAAAUUAAAUUUAAUUUUAUUAGUUAUUUAAUAAUUAAUAUUAAUUUGUAUAAUUUAAAAUUAAAAUUAUUAGGUGAAAUUUUAAUUUUAUUUAAUUUAUUUAAUAUAUUUUAUGAUUUAAUAAAUUUUAAUUAAAAACUAGGAUUAGAUACCCUAUUAUUUGAAAUUUAAAUUUUUAAUACUAAAAUAGUAUAUAAUUAUUUAUUGAAACUUAAAUAUUUUGGCGGUAUUUUAGUUUAUUUAGAGGAAUCUGUUUAUUAAUUGAUAAUCCACGAAUAAAUUUACUUAAUUUAUUAUUUUGUAUAUCGUUGUUAAAAAAAUAUUUUUUAAUAAUUAUAAUAUUUUAAAAUUAUUAAUAAAAAUUAAAUCAAAUCAAGAUGCAGAUUAUAGUUAAGAAUAUAAUGGAUUACAAUAAAUUUAUUUAAAUGAAUUUUAAUUUGUAAUUACUUAAAUAAAAGUGGAUUUAAAUGUAAUUUUAUUUAAUUUAUUAAAAUGAUUAUUAAUUAAAAUAUGUACAUAUUGCCCGUCGCUUUCAUAAUUAAAUUGAAAUAAGUCGUAACAAAGUAGAGGUACUGGAAAGUGUUUCUAGAAAGAA
rnacentral:ncRNA from 1 species